AUGUUAUUUAUUUUGUGUUUAUUCAUUCAAUGCUACUUGAAUUUUAUAUUGUGUUUAUAUUUUUUUAUUACAGUUCAAAUGGCUAGUAACGAGGAAAAAUUACAUCAUGCUUCUAAUAAUUAUAGAAAUGAAUUAGUUCAUGAUGUGGAGAAUGAUAUUAGACGAGGAAUAACUAUUAUGAAGUAUAAAGGUUUCAAAUUUGACAUACAUUGGAAUGAAGACAAACAACUAAUUGAGCCUAAUGGUUCAAUGUUGACAAGUUAA